rnacentral:rRNA from 1 species
GAGUGGCGAACGGGUGAGUAAUACAUCGGAACGUGUCCUGUAGUGGGGGAUAGCCCGGCGAAAGCCGGAUUAAUACCGCAUACGAUUACGGAAGAAAGCGGGGGAUUUCGGGACCUCGCGCUAUAGGGGCGGCCGAUGGCAGAUUAGCUAGUUGGUGGGGUAAAGGCCUACCAAGGCGACGAUCUGUAGCUGGUCUGAGAGGACGACCAGCCACACUGGGACUGAGACACGGCCCAGACUCCUACGGGAGGCAGCAGUGGGGAAUUUUGGACAAUGGGGGAAACCCUGAUCCAGCAAUGCCGCGUGUGUGAAGAAGGCCUUCGGGUUGUAAAGCACUUUUGUCCGGAAAGAAAACUUCUGCCCUAAUACGGUGGGAGGAUGACGGUACCGGAAGAAUAAGCACCGGCUAACUACGUGCCAGCAGCCGCGGUAAUACGUAGGGUGCGAGCGUUAAUCGGAAUUACUGGGCGUAAAGCGUGCGCAGGCGGUUCGUUAAGACAGAUGUGAAAUCCCCGGGCUUAACCUGGGAACUGCAUUUGUGACUGGCGAGCUAGAGUAUGGCAGAGGGGGGUAGAAUUCCACGUGUAGCAGUGAAAUGCGUAGAGAUGUGGAGGAAUACCGAUGGCGAAGGCAGCCCCCUGGGCCAAUAC